CUCCGAAUUUUACGGUUCCUGGCGAGGAAGGUCAGCAGGGCACAGGGCUCCCAAACGGACCUAUGAUCUUCCCUUCCCUUCCAGAGAUCCCGUGGGACCCAGGAUUCUGCCGAUCGCAAGCCUCUGCAGGCGCCGCUCACUCAGCCUCUUUGGUGGCCUGCCUGAACGGUUGCGAUCUCUCCUCAGACUGUCCUGCCCUCUCUCCCAGUCUCUUCACACUCAACCCCAGCGAUGCUGUUUGCUUGGAGAUGACGUCAGCAUGGAAACCUUAAGCACUGCAGGAAGGAUACCUUCAGACCUGCGUCAUAGGAUUUGAAGGAGCCCCAGGAAGAAGUCCCUUGCUCUGAGGCAGGGCCACCCCCCCUUGAUGAGCCUUGGUCUCCCCACGUGCUGAGUCUGGCUUUCCCGGAUGUGAGCGGCUUGUGAUCACCACCCCCAUGACCCAGCAGUUCCG